rnacentral:rRNA from 1 species
UACGAAGGGGGCUAGGCGUUGUUCGGAAUUACUGGGCGUAAAGCGCACGUAGGCGGAUACUUAAGUCAGGGGUGAAAUCCCGGGGCGUCAACCCCGGAACUGCCUUUGAUACUGGAGAGCUCGAGUCCGGAAGAGGUGAGUGGAACUCCGAGUGUAGAGGUGAAAUUCGUAGAAUAUUCGGAGGAACACCGGUGGCGAAGGCGGCAUCCUGGACCAACACUGACGCUGAGGAGCGAAAGCCAGGGG